rnacentral:misc_RNA from 1 species
CUGAGUACUACACUCUCUACCCUUUGUGAACACAUCUUGUUGCUUCGGGGGCGACCCUGCCGGCACUACGUCGCCGGGCGCCCCCGAAGGUCUCCAAACACUGCAUCUUUGCGUCGGAGUUUAAACAAAUUAAACA